AACGAACGCUGGCGGCAUGCCUAACACAUGCAAGUCGAACGAGACCUUCGGGUCUAGUGGCGCACGGGUGCGUAACGCGUGGGAACCUGAACUUAGGGUCGGAAUAACUACAAGAAAGGGGUGCUAAUACCGGAUAAUGUCUUCGGACCAAAGAUUUAUCGCCUUUGGAUGGGCCCGCGUUGGAUUAGCUAGUUGGUAGGGUAAAAGCCUACCAAGGCGACGAUCCAUAGCUGGUCUGAGAGGAUGAUCAGCCACACUGGGACUGAGACACGGCCCAGACUCCUACGGGAUGCAGCAGUGGGGAAUAUUGGACCAUGGGCGAAAGCCUGAUCCAGCAAUGCCGCGUGAGUGAUGAAGGCCUUAGGGUUGUAAAGCUCUUUUACCCGGGAUGAUAAUGACAGUACCGGGAGAAUAAGCCCCGGCUAACUCCGUG
rnacentral:rRNA from 1 species